rnacentral:rRNA from 1 species
GACGAACGCUGGCGGCGUGCUUAACACAUGCAAGUCGAACGGUAAGGCUCUGUGCUUGCGCUGGGUUCGUGUGUGGCGAACGUGUGAGUCAUGCGUGUAUAACCUCCUUUUGAUUGGGGUAUCUUCAUGGAAAUCUGGGUAUAAUACUGUAUAUGCCCUGCCACUUUGUGGUGGUGUGUAGAGAGUGUUUCGGCGGUUGGGGAUGGACUGGCGGCUUAUCAGCUUGUUGGUGGGGUAGUGGCCUACCAAGGCGUGGACGGGUAGCCGGCCUGAGAGGGUGACCGGCCACAUUGGGACUGAGAUACGGCCCAGACUCCUACGGGAGGCAGCAGUGGGGAAUAUUGCACAAUGGGCGGAAGCCUGAUGCAGCAACGCCGUGUGCGGGAUGACGGCCUUCGGGUUGUAAACCGCUUUCGCCUGUGACGAAGCGUGAGUGACGGUAAUGGGUAAAGAAGCACCGGCUAACUACGUG